rnacentral:sRNA from 1 species
AUAAAGAGAAACAUCUGGACAUCUGCCACCCCACUGAUCUUCAGAGUGGAUUGGCUGAUCUGGCUGACCAGGUGGGUGUGGCCUUCCUGCCUCACCACUGCAUGUGUAUCCCUCCUGGAGCCACAGACUGGGAGAAGACAACCUGUGGGGGACAGUUUCCUGCCAGAACCUCCAACAAACCCUUAAGAGGCACAAGAGUUGAAAAUGCAUGCGAUGUAUCUUACCCUCUGACUGCCAUCAGCUUAAAAGCUCGUU